rnacentral:tRNA from 1 species
CAAAAUGUAGCUUAAUCAAAGCACCUGACUUACACUCAGGAGAUUUCACCCCUAGUGACCAUUUUGA